rnacentral:rRNA from 1 species
CCUACGGGAGGUAGCAGUGGGGAAUAUUGGGCAAUGGAGGAAACUCUGACCCAGCGACGCCGCGUGCGGGAUGAAGGCCUUCGGGUUGUAAACCGCUUUCAGCAGGGAAGAAGCGAAAGUGACGGUACCUGCAGAAGAAGCACCGGCUAACUAUGUGCCAGCAGCCGCGGUAAUACAUAGGGUGCAAGCGUUGUCCGGAAUUAUUGGGCGUAAAGAGCUCGUAGGUGGUUCGUCGCGUCGGAUGUGAAAAUCUGGGGCUUAACCCCAGACCUGCAUUCGAUACGGGCGAGCUUGAGUAUGGUAGGGGAGUCUGGAAUUCCUGGUGUAGCGGUGGAAUGCGCAGAUAUCAGGAGGAACACCAAUGGCGAAGGCAGGACUCUGGGCCAUUACUGGCACUGAGGAGCGAAAGCGUGGGGAGCGAACAGGAUUAGAUACCCUGGUAGUCCACGCCGUAAACGGUGGGCACUAGUUGUGGGGACCUUCCACGGUCUCUGCGACGCNGCUACGCAUAGUGCCCGCCGUCGGGAGGUACGAGUCGCGAGAAGUUAAACGUUAACGUAAAGUUAAAGUUAGUACGGCGUUGAGACGUUGCCGACGGACGACGACGAGGGAGGUUAGG